rnacentral:lncRNA from 1 species
CUGAGAGAAAACCAGCUCUUACCAGUUAUUUGACAGAAAGCGAUCCCGUCAGCGGAGGGCGGUCCCCUUCCUGGUGCCACGUGGGAGGGGAGCAUUGUGUUCCUGUGGGGCCGGCCACCCAGCUGCUCGCAGAGUUUGGUGGCGUCGCCACAGCGCCGUGCGGCUCUCGCUGGCGUUCUGUCCUGGACUGGCGCGUGCCUGUUUCCCCAACCCCAGCCAUCCCGAAGAGGGAAGUGGUCCCGCUCUGAAGGCCAUGCCCUUAAGUGGCAGGACUGUGUUCAGCCACGGAGGUGCCAUCGAGUCAGCAGGGAGGUUCCCGGGGACCACUCCGAAGGGGGUGUGGUCCUUUGGGUGCAGAAGCUCCGGCUUAUUCAAGACAGCAUUAUGUUGACUUCGGUCAGGCUUUACUGUGCCAGGGGCGAGACCCCCAAGCUGGCUCAGCAGCUCUGACAGCCUCUCUCCUCAUAGGUGCCCACCGUGUGCGGGAGGGUUGAACUCAGUGUGCUGGCUGGCAGGGCUCGACGUGCGCGUGUGUACAAGUCAGCUGAGGCUCGUGGUGGCACCCUGCCCUCUGACAAACCAGCGGGUUCCUCUUCUGGCCGAGAGAAUUCGCUUGAGUUCCAAGAAAAGCUCCAAGUGCAAGACUCACCAGCUGUUCUGAUUAUGCCUUGUUGGCUUCAUCGUCCGUGCUCUCUCUGUGUAGACGGCUCUCUGUCUAUAGACAGCUCCUCUGACCCACUG